rnacentral:rRNA from 1 species
UACGUAGGGUGCAAGCGUUAAUCGGAAUUACUGGGCGUAAAGCGUGCGCAGGCGGUUGUGCAAGACCGAUGUGAAAUCCCCGGGGCUUAACCUGGGAAUGGCAUUGGUGACUGCACGGCUAGAGUGUGUCAGAGGGGGGUAGAAUUCCACGUGUAGCAGUGAAAUGCGUAGAGAUGUGGAGGAAUACCGAUGGCGAAGGCAGCCCCCUGGGAUAACACUGACGCUCAUGCACGAAAGCGUGGGGAGCAAACAGG